rnacentral:rRNA from 1 species
UACGUAGGAUGCAAGCGUUGUCCGGAAUUAUUGGGCGUAAAGAGCUCGUAGGCGGUUUGUCGCGUCUGCUGUGAAAACUGGAGGCUCAACCUCCAGCCUGCAGUGGGUACGGGCAAACUAGAGUGCGGUAGGGGAGAUUGGAAUUCCUGGUGUAGCGGUGGAAUGCGCAGAUAUCAGGAGGAACACCGGUGGCGAAGGCGGGUCUCUGGGCCGAUACUGACGCUGAGGAGCGAAAGCGUGGGGAGCGAACAGG